GACGAACGCUGGCGGUGUGCUUAACACAUGCAAGUCGAACGGUAAGGCCCUUUCGGGGGUACACGAGUGGCGAACGGGUGAGUAACACGUGAGUAACCUGCCCUCAUCUCUGGGAUAACAGUCGGAAACGGUUGCUAAUACUGGAUAUGAGCUUGCAAGGCAUCUUGUGGGUUGGAAAGAUUUUUUUUGGUUGGGGAUGGACUCGCGGCCUAUCAGCUUGUUGGUGAGGUAGUGGCUCACCAAGGCUUCGACGGGUAGCCGGCCUGAGAGGGCGACCGGCCACAUUGGGACUAAGAUACGGCCCAAACUCCUACGGGAGGCAGCAGUGGGGAAUAUUGCACAAUGGACGGAAGUCUGAUGCAGCAACGCCGCGUGCGGGAUGACGGCCUUCGGGUUGUAAACCGCUUUCAAUUGUGACGAAGCUUUUUUGUGACGGUAGCAGUAGAAGAAGCACCGGCUAACUACGUG
rnacentral:rRNA from 1 species